AACGAACGCUGGCGGCAUGCCUAACACAUGCAAGUCGAACGAGACCUUCGGGUCUAGUUGCGCACGGGUGCGUAACGCGUGGGAACCUGCCCUUAGGCUCGGAAUAACACCCCGAAAGGGGUGCUAAUACCGGAUAAUGUCCUCGGACCAAAGAUUUAUCGCCGUUGGAUGGGCCCGCGUUGGAUUAGCUAGGUGGUAGGGUAUAAGCCUACCAAGGCGACGAUCCAUAGCUGGUCAGAGAGGAUGAGCAGCCACACUGGGACUGAGACACGGCCCAGACUCCUACGGGAGGCAGCGGUAGGGAAUAUUGGACAAUGGGCGAAAGCCUAAUACAGCAAUGCCGCGUGAGUGAUUAAUGCCUUAGGGUUGUAGAGCUCUUUUACCCGGGAUGAUAAUGACCGUACCGGGAGAAUAAACUCCGGCCAACUCCGUG
rnacentral:rRNA from 1 species